rnacentral:rRNA from 1 species
ACACGUAGGAUUCGAGCGUUGUCCGGAAUUACUGGGCGUAAAGGGCGCGUAGGCGGUUUUUCAAGUCAGUUGUCAAAUUCCCAGGCCUAACCUGGGGUCGGCGAUUGAAACUGAAAUGACUAGAGUAUGGAAGAGAGAAGUGGAAUUAUCGGAGUAGCGGUAAAAUGCAUAGAUCCCGAUAGGAACACCAAUGGCGAAGGCAGCUUCUUGGUCCAUUACUGACGCUGAGGCGCGAAAGCGUGGGGAGCAAACAGGAUUAGAAACCCGAGUAGUCC